AGAGUUUGAUCCUGGCUCAGGACGAACGCUGGCGGCGUGCCUAAUACAUGCAAGUCGAGCGGACAGAUGGGAGCUUGCUCCCUGAUGUUAGCGGCGGACGGGUGAGUAACACGUGGGUAACCUGCCUGUAAGACUGGGAUAACUCCGGGAAACCGGGGCUAAUACCGGAUGGUUGUUUGAACCGCAUGGUUCAAACAUAAAAGGUGGCUUCGGCUACCACUUACAGAUGGACCCGCGGCGCAUUAGCUAGUUGGUGAGGUAACGGCUCACCAAGGCAACGAUGCGUAGCCGACCUGAGAGGGUGAUCGGCCACACUGGGACUGAGACACGGCCCAGACUCCUACGGGAGGCAGCAGUAGGGAAUCUCCCGCAAUGGACGAAAGUCUGACGGAGCAACGCCGCGUGAGUGAUGAAGGUUUUCGGAUCGUAAAGCUCUGUUGUUAGGGAAGAACAAGUACCGUUCGAAUAGGGCGGUACCUUGACGGUACCUAACCAGAAAGCCACGGCUAACUACGUGCCAGCAGCCGCGGUAAUACGUAGGUGGCAAGCGUUGUCCGGAAUUAUUGGGCGUAAAGGGCUCGCUGGCGGUUUCCUAAGUCGGAUGUGAAAGCCCCCGGCUCAACCGGGGAGGGUCAUUGGAAACUGGGGAACUUGAGUGCAGAAGAGGAGAGUGGAAUUCCACGUGUAGCGGUGAAAUGCGUAGAGAUGUGGAGGAACACCAGUGGCGAAGGCGACUCUCUGGUCUGUAACUGACGCUGAGGAGCGAAAGCGUGGGGAGCGAACAGGAUUAGAUACCCUGGUAGUCCACGCCGUAAACGAUGAGUGCUAAGUGUUAGGGGGUUUCCGCCCCUUAGUGCUGCAGCUAACGCAUUAAGCACUCCGCCUGGGGAGUACGGUCGCAAGACUGAAACUCAAAGGAAUUGACGGGGGCCCGCACAAGCGGUGGAGCAUGUGGUUUAGUUCGAAGCAACGCGAAGAACCUUACCAGGUCUUGACAUUCUCUGACAAUCCUAGAGAUAGGACGUCCCCUUCGGGGGCAGAGUGACAGGUGGUGCAUGGUUGUCGUCAGCUCGUGUCGUGAGAUGUUGGGUUAAGUCCCGCAACGAGCGCAACCCUUGAUCUUAGUUGCCAGCAUUCAGUUGGGCACUCUAAGGUGACUGCCGGUGACAAACCGGAGGAAGGUGGGGAUGACGUCAAAUCAUCAUGCCCCUUAUGACCUGGGCUACACACGUGCUACAAUGGACAGAACAAAGGGUAGCGAAACCGCGAGGUUAAGCCAAUCCCACAAAUCUGUUCUCAGUUCGGAUCGCAGUCUGCAACUCGACUGCGUGAAGCUGGAAUCGCUAGUAAUCGCGGAUCAGCAUGCCGCGGUGAAUACGUUCCCGGGCCUUGUACACACCGCCCGUCACACCACGAGAGUUUGUAACACCCGAGGUCGGUGAGGUAACCUUUUAGGAGCCAGCCGCCGAAGGUGGGACAGAUGAUUGGGGUGAAGUCGUAACAAGGUAGCCGU
rnacentral:rRNA from 1 species